GUCAAACCAAUGUCAAGAGGAAGGCAAGGAAGCUGAACAUCCGAAUAUCUCUUAUAAGUUCUGACUUCUCAAUGAAGACUCAGCUGAUACUGAUAAUGAUUUCCUUCUUCAUGGCGGACUGUCUACUCACAGAUUCUAGGCAAUGAAGAUCAAUUGCUGCUAAACCAUUACUUGAAAGUUGAUGGAAACAGUAUAAUGGAGGAAUCAGAUUGACAUCACUUGAACCCACCGAUCAAUUGUGACAUUGCUAAAUAAACCCAAGUGACAGGAGAGUGUUGGGAGUUUGAAUGCUGAGAGAGCACAAGCAAAGGAAGAGAAACUUCUAAGAAUUCUAGGAGCUACUUGUGGUAGAAUAAAAAAUGAGAGACCUUGGAAAAGGGUAAGUGAAUAUGUAAACCUUCAACAAGUUUGGCUAAGAAGGGAAGAUAAAGUAAUACCUUGCAGGACAGUAGGAUCAAAGGUUUUUAGGUUGAUUUUAAAAAGCAGGAGACUUGAUAACAUUUAAUUAUUGAUUGGAAGGAAGCAGAAAGAAUAGAUCAGUAUCCUAUACAGACAAAUGCAUGCACAAGUUUCCUUUGAAGGACACAGGAUCCAGUACACAGGUAGAAACAAAUCUUUCCCGCUAUAAUAGGAAGAAGAAAAUGACCAGUUUCUGCAGGUACAUAUAGCUCUGCAAAUUUUAUAGCAGAGAGCUGGGGUUUUUUGCCCUAGUGAUUCUAUUUUCGCCAUAAAAUAUAUAGCAAUAUUAUCUGCUAAAAGUAAAUAAAAAGAACAAAAAAGGAACCUGGAACUUUGGAGAGAAGGUCUGAAAUAGUUAAUACAGAGAGAAGGUAAGUACACUGAAUGGAAAAGCACAGGAGCUUUACCAGACAGUGAUGAAGCACAGAGGAGGCUCAUAACUGUGAUGUUCCAAUGCUUCCCAUAUGCCCAGUUGUGUUACUUUCCUCAGCACCGUUCUGCAGCCCAGGGGAUGACAGUUGGAUUCAUCUAGGACUGCAGUGUCUGCCAGUGAAUUCAAUAAAAUGACUAAGGGACACGGAGGUGUGGAAUAUUAGCAGGCCUGACUGAAAAAGUGAAUAGGAAACUGUUGACAGAGCUCCGAGCUGAUGUGUGUGUGUGUGUGUGUGUGCAUGGUGUGGGGGGAGGGGAAUGGGAAAACAGCAGACGUAAAGUCUUAUUCACAGCUCAAGUUCAAGACUGAUAAAUGGCCUUCAAGAGUACCUGAGAAAGGAAUAUAAAAGUCCCUCAAUAGUUUGUGAAUUCACUGACACAGUAACAUAAUAUGGCAGCUACACUAAAGCGUAACUUCCCCAAUGAAACAAACUUGACUCCAAAAUUAUCUCAAGGAGGCGUCACCAAACUAAGACAAAACAUCACUCUCAGGAAGACCUAGAAACACUUAAAAAUUGGUUGCUAAAGAAAAUGAUUUAAAAGUUUAGGUAGCUCUGAAUCCCCCACCAAACGCUUGGUCUCUGCAUUGUUACUUGGAAAUGCUAGUAUUAUUGGAAGUAGAAACACAAAUUGAAAAAAAAAGGGAGAAAGAAAGGAAAGGAGAGGAGAGGGUGAAUUGUAAUAAGUGAAGAUCAAAUAAUAGGGUGUGAAUACUGUAUGUGGAGUACAAAGAGAGAAAUAAGUUCUGAGGAGAGGAUCAAACUGUUAUAAAAUCAAAUGAAAAAUGCAAGUUAACAGUACUUUAACCAUUGUAAGUUUUAUAUAAACACAGAUGAAAAUUGUGGGGGCAUGUAUGCAUUUUUCCAUGGUGUUAUUCUUUAAUAAGAGUAUUUACUACACUAAAUACUAUAUAAAAUAAAGAUUCAUCUCAAGAUUUUAAAUAAGCUUAAACAA